rnacentral:pre_miRNA from 1 species
AUCCAUUAACCAGAGGCCUCGCCGAAUAUGACACUGACGCUUAAUAUGGACCGAAUUCUCUCCGGAUCCAUAAAAGCUCUGUGUCAAACUCGGCGAGUGCCCCCGAUCCCUUUUUAUAUU